rnacentral:sRNA from 1 species
UUUGUACGUCAAAAAAUAAUUUUCGCCAGAACUGGAAACGAAUUACAAUUUCUGCUGUGAGUAAGGAAAGGAGUCGUUAAAUAUUGUAAAUCGUAAUCCAAAAUGGCUCGUAAGCAAGAUGAGAAUCAGGAAGGUGACAAACUACCUUCUAACAUGGAGAAAGCUGUGGCCGAAUUGAGCCUCAAAGUUGCAUUACUUAAAGCGGCUGUCGCUAAAAAGAGGAAGUUGUUGGAUAAAAUGAAAAGCAGUUUGAACAAGAUGAAAACAUUAACAAAGAAAGGCAAGAAAUCCGCACCAGGACAGCCUUAAAGAAUUUCUUAACACCACCCAGAAGUCUUAUGGCUUAUGAUAACCAAGUUCUAAAUCAGAUCAUACACUACCUAACUCGAAGAUUUGAAAUCCAACAUUUCUGCAAUGCAAGUCCAGAAAAACAAAUAACAUUUGAACAAUCGCCACGAGUCCCAAUUAAUACUUCACAAAAAGAAUUUUAAAAAUCCUUGAUAUUGCUGCGUUGUCCAAAUAAUUUGACAAAUAAAGCGCUUAAUAGUA